UGAACGCUAGCUACAGGCUUAACACAUGGCAAGGUCGAGGGGAAACGAUAUUGGAAGCUUGCUUCCGAUAGGGCGUCGACCGGCGCACGGGUGAGUAACGCGUAUCCAACCUGCCCAUCACUUGGGGAUAACCUUGCGAAAGUAAGACUAAUACCCAAUGACGUCUCUAGAAGACAUCUGAAGGAGAUUAAAGAUUUAUCGGUGAUGGAUGGGGAUGCGUCUGAUUAGCUUGUUGGCGGGGUAACGGCCCACCAAGGCGACGAUCAGUAGGGGUUCUGAGAGGAAGGCCCCCCACAUUGGAACUGAGACACGGUCCAAACUCCUACGGGAGGCAGCAGUGAGGAAUAUUGGUCAAUGGACGAGAGUCUGAACCAGCCAAGUAGCGUGCAGGAUGACGGCCCUAUGGGUUGUAAACUGCUUUUAUAAGGGAAUAAAGUGAGUCUCGUGAGACUUUUUGCAUGUACCUUAUGAAUAAGGACCGGCUAAUUCCGUG
rnacentral:rRNA from 1 species